UACGUAGGGGGCAAGCGUUGUCCGGAUUUAUUGGGCGUAAAGAGCGUGUAGGCGGCCUGACAGGUCUGCUGUGAAAACUCGAGGCUCAACCUCGAGAUGUCGGCGGAAACCGUCUGGCUAGAGUCCGGAAGAGGAGAGUGGAAUUCCUGGUGUAGCGGUGAAAUGCGCAGAUAUCAGGAAGAACACCUAUGGCGAAGGCAGCUCUCUGGGACGGUACUGACGCUGAGACGCGAAAAGCGUGGGGGAGCGAACAGG
rnacentral:rRNA from 1 species